rnacentral:misc_RNA from 1 species
GAUGAAGAACGUAGCGAAAUGCGAUACGUAGUGUGAAUUGCAGAAUUCAGUGAAUCAUCGAAUCUUUGAACGCACAUUGCACCUCUCUGUAUUCCGGGAGGUAUGCCUGUUCGAGCGUCAUUUGUACCCUCAAGCUCUGCUUGGUGUUGGGUGUUUGUUCCGCCUCUGUGUGUGAACUCGCCUCAAAACAAUUGGCAGCCGGCGUACUUGUUUCGGAGCGCAGCACAUUUUGCGAUCCAGAUCAACGUACAGCGGCAUCCAAGAAGCCUUAUUUAACGCUCUUGACCUCGGAUCAGGUAGGGAUACCCGCUGAACUUAAGCAUAUCAAUAAGCGGAGGA